GAAAUCUCAGCCCGGGCUGAAAUGAUCAAGUCUCAAAAUGUCAAGUCUCAACUCAGGCUGAUAUUUCCAGUCGAUUACAUGACGAUUUUCAGACCGGUCAACCGGGAUAAAAUUUCCAGCAUGGGUGGCUUCUACCAGGCUGAAUGGUCAUGAUGUUAAAUCAGUUAUUAUAUUUUAAAGGGGUUUUAUCCUUAGGCCAGGCUGAAAUUUUAGCCCAGGAAACCGGGCUGAAACUCGGCCACAGCUGAAAACUCUCCAUGUGAUCAGCCCCUUAUUUGGAAUAUAUGAUG